AUUGAACGCUAGCGGGAUGCUUUACACAUGCAAGUCGAACGAGAGGCGGACGGGUGAGUUAUAUAUCGGAACGUGCCCAGUAGCGGGGGAUAACUAACCGAAAGUGAGGCCUAUACCGCACACUAGUGGAGCGGCCGAUAUCGGUUUAGCUAGUUGGUGGGGUAAAGGCUCACCAAGGCAACGAUCCGUAGCUGGUUUGAGAGGACGACCAGCCACACGGGGACUGAGACACGGCCCAGACUCCUACGGGAGGCAGCAGUGGGGAAUGUUGGACAAUGGGGGAAACCCUGAUCCAGCCAUGCCGCGUGUAUGAGAAGGCCUUCGGGUUGUAAAGUACUUUUGGCAGAGAAGCGGUAUCAACAGAAUAAGCACCGGCUAACUACGUGCCAGCAGCCGCGGUAAUUC
rnacentral:rRNA from 1 species